rnacentral:rRNA from 1 species
AUUGAACGCUGGCGGCAGGCCUAACACAUGCAAGUCGAGCGGAUGAAGAGAGCUUGCUCUCUGAUUUAGCGGCGGACGGGUGAGUAAUGCCUAGGAAUCUGCCUGGUAGUGGGGGAUAACGUUCCGAAAGGAACGCUAAUACCGCAUACGUACUACGGGAGACAGCAGGGGACCUUCGUGCCUUGCGCUAUCAGAUGGGCCUAGGACGGAUUAGCUAGUUGGUGAGGUACUGGCUCACCAAGGGGACGAUCCGUAACUGGGCUGAGAGGAUGAUCAGUCACCCUGGAACUGAGACACGGUCCAGACGCCUACGGGAGGCAGCAGUGGGGAAUAUUGGACAAUGGGCGAAAGCCUGAUCCAGCCAUGCCGCGUGUGUGAAGAAGGUCUUCGGAUUGUAAAGCACUUUAAGUUGGGAGGAAGGGCAUUAACCUAAUACGUUAGUGUUUUAACGUUACCAACAGAAUAAGCACCGGCUAACUUCGUGCCAGCCGCCGCAGUAAAAC